GACGAACGCUGGCGGCGUGCUUAACACAUGCAAGUCGAACGAGUGGCGAACGGGUGAGUAAUGUAUGGGGAUCUGCCUGAUGGCGGGGGAUAACUACUGGAAACGGUAGCUAAUACCGCAUACCAUCAGAUGAACCCAUAUGGGAUUAGCUAGUAGGUAAGGUAACGGCUUACCUAGGCGACGAUCCCUAGCUGGUCUGAGAGGAUGAUCAGCCACACUGGGACUGAGACACGGCCCAGACUCCUACGGGAGGCAGCAGUGGGGAAUAUUGCACAAUGGGCGCAAGCCUGAUGCAGCCAUGCCGCGUGUAUGAAGAAGGCCUUCGGGUUGUAAAGUACUUUCAGUCGGGAGGCGUUACCGACAGAAGAAGCACCGGCUAACUCCGUGCCAGCAGCCGCGGUAAUUC
rnacentral:rRNA from 1 species